CUAAGGUGCCACAAGUACUCCUUUUCUUUCAGCUGUUGUAAGUAGGCAUAACUCUAUUUACUUCAAUUUAACUAUGACAGCGUUCACAAGUUGAGAAUCUGACCCCAUACAUCCAGGGAUUGAGUAACCCUCUAUGUUGCCCUAGUCUGAAAUAAAAAAUGAUGCUAGCACAGUGUGCUCCUCCUCAGGGAAGGCAGGGACAAGCUUAUCCCCAUCACUGGCAUUCUACCUACGGUACUGUCAUUGAAUCCUGAAAAUAAAGAAAAUGUCAUGUAUAUAUGAAAAAUGCAUUGCACCCAGUAUUCCUGAGUUCAGGGAGACUCUUAAUGAAACAUACAUUUGAAACAUAUUUUGAAAAAUAAGUUCUGUGUAUGUCUUUUACUCUUUUGAGUCUGUUGCCCUUUGUUUAUAGGCUAUAGCCCACUUGGUCCAUAUAUAAAUACAACACUGGAUCUAUUGUCUCCUUAACAGAAGCUUGAGGAUAGAGAAUGAAUCACAGAAGUACAGGUCUCUACUUACACUAUUGAUUUGAGGUUGACGGGACAUGGACUGAGAUGCUUUUCACUGGAUCCUGAAAUCAACUGUAUUGCACAGCACCAGUACAACGAGAUGAGAUGGCCCAUCCAGCUCCUCCCACCCUGAGAAGGAUGAAUGAAGGAGAGGGACCUGACCAGACCAACUAGAUAAUGUCCCUGUCUGGGGAGAAGAGCCAGUGUCCAGAGCAAUAGCUUUCAUGGCUGACCUACAAGACCAAAGCAUCUGUCCCAUGACUGACCAGCCACCCUGAUUCUGAGCUGUAUUUUCGCCAUCUUUAUUAUCCUAGUUCUUUCUCUCUCUCUCUCCUGUGUCUGUUUUGUCUAAUGCAGGAAAGUGACUAUCAUUCUAAAUUCAGAACUGAAUAAUAGAACACCAAGGGCUGUUUGACUGAAUAAGAGAUGUUAUGUCUCUCGAAAAGACUUUGAGAGGUUUUUAUUAUUUUAUUAUUUGUUCUUUAUAUCAUUUUGCUUCUUUCCUUUUGUGAGUUUC